rnacentral:rRNA from 1 species
GCAGGCCUAACACAUGCAAGUCGAACGGUAACAGGAAGCAGCUUGCUGCUUCGCUGACGAGUGGCGGACGGGUGAGUAAUGUCUGGGAAACUGCCUGAUGGAGGGGGAUAACUACUGGAAACGGUAGCUAAUACCGCAUAACGUCGCAAGACCAAAGAGGGGGACCUUCGGGCCUCUUGCCAUCGGAUGUGCCCAGAUGGGAUUAGCUAGUAGGUGGGGUAACGGCUCACCUAGGCGACGAUCCCUAGCUGGUCUGAGAGGAUGACCAGCCACACUGGAACUGAGACACGGUCCAGACUCCUACGGGAGGCAGCAGUGGGGAAUAUUGCACAAUGGGCGCAAGCCUGAUGCAGCCAUGCCGCGUGUAUGAAGAAGGCCUUCGGGUUGUAAAGUACUUUCAGCGGGGAGGAAGGCGAUAAGGUUAAUAACCUUGUCGAUUGACGUUACCCGCAGAAGAAGCACCGGCUAACUCCGUGCCAGCAGCCGCGGUAAUACGGAGGGUGCAAGCGUUAAUCGGAAUUACUGGGCGUAAAGCGCACGCAGGCGGUCUGUCAAGUCGGAUGUGAAAUCCCCGGGCUCAACCUGGGAACUGCAUUCGAAACUGGCAGGCUAGAGUCUUGUAGAGGGGGGUAGAAUUCCAGGUGUAGCGGUGAAAUGCGUAGAGAUCUGGAGGAAUACCGGUGGCGAAGGCGGCCCCCCUGGACAAAGACUGACGCUCA